rnacentral:rRNA from 1 species
GACGAACGCUGGCGGCGUGCUUAACACAUGCAAGUCGAACGGAAAGGCCCUGCUUUUGUGGGGUGCUCGAGUGGCGAACGGGUGAGUAACACGUGAGUAACCUGCCCUUGACUUUGGGAUAACUUCAGGAAACUGGGGCUAAUACCGGAUAGGAGCUCCUGCUGCAUGGUGGGGGUUGGAAAGUUUCGGCGGUUGGGGAUGGACUCGCGGCUUAUCAGCUUGUUGGUGGGGUAGUGGCUUACCAAGGCUUUGACGGGUAGCCGGCCUGAGAGGGUGACCGGCCACAUUGGGACUGAGAUACGGCCCAGACUCCUACGGGAGGCAGCAGUGGGGAAUAUUGCACAAUGGGCGGAAGCCUGAUGCAGCAACGCCGCGUGCGGGAUAAGGGCCUUCGGGUUGUAAACCGCUUUCGCCUGUGACGAAGCGUGAGUGACGGUAAUUGGUAAAGAAGCACCGGCUAACUACGUG